rnacentral:tRNA from 2 species
GCCGGUAUAGCUCAGUUGGUAGAGCACCUGCUUUGUAACCAGGGGGUCCCGAGUUCGAUUCUUGGUGCCGGCACCA